rnacentral:rRNA from 1 species
UGGGGAAUUUUGGACAAUGGGCGAAAGCCUGAUCCAGCAAUGCCGCGUGUGUGAAGAAGGCCUUCGGGUUGUAAAGCACUUUUGCCCGGAAAGAAAUCCUUGGCUCUAAUACAGUCGGGGGAUGACGGUACCGGAAGAAUAAGCACCGGCUAACUACGUGCCAGCAGCCGCGGUAAUACGUAGGGUGCAAGCGUUAAUCGGAAUUACUGGGCGUAAAGCGUGCGCAGGCGGUUUGCUAAGACCGAUGUGAAAUCCCCGGGCUCAACCUGGGAACUGCAUUGGUGACUGGCAGGCUAGAGUAUGGCAGAGGGGGGUAGAAUUCCACGUGUAGCAGUGAAAUGCGUAGAGAUGUGGAGGAAUACCGAUGGCGAAGGCAGCCCCCUGGGCCAAUACUGACGCUCAUGCACGAAAGCGUGGGGGAGCAAACAGGAUUAGAUACCCUGGUAGUCCACGCCCUAAACGAUGUCAACUAGUUGUUGGGGAUUCAUUUCCUUAGUAACGUAGCUAACGCGUGAAGUUGACCGCCUGGGGAGUACGGUCGCAAGAUUAAAACUUAAAGGAAUUGACGGGGUCAUAGCUGUUUCCU